rnacentral:lncRNA from 1 species
UCACUUAGCUAUUUCAAACUAGUUCCACAUGAACCAGUCUAUGAUCAGGAUAUCGCCAAUCAACGCAAUCACAACUACUCAAAGGAGACCCAAUUCUUCACUCUAAGCAUAAACGAACCAUACACGCACUCAAAAAACAUUAUGUUGAAUCAAUCAUUAGCGUCUCAUCCAGCAACGCUUAAAGGGUCCGACUUUAAGAAGGCAAUCCAACCUUUGCAAGGAGGCACAUGGCUUCUUUGGUGGCGCUCUUCUCCCUCUCUGAGUGCUGUUCCCAUGGCAUCGUCAUCGUCUUCUUCGUCUUCGCUUCUUCAUUUUCUUCUUCUUCCAAUGCUCUUUUCUCUCAGCUCUGAGUCUGUUCCAUAGUCCAACUCAAACUUUGUCUCUGUCCUAAAACAUGGUGAAAGUCCGGCGGUUUUCAUUGUCAGUUGAGGCUCGACCGACCACCCAGUUCACUUUCCAAUGACGACCCGACCCGAUCGUCUUACCCAAACGUUUU